rnacentral:lncRNA from 1 species
UUCAUGUGGAAUGCUUGUUCCACGGGAUUUGGGAAGACCAUAGUUGUUGAACUUUGACAUCUACAAUACGGGAGAAAACAAAUUCAAGUUAGUUGAUUGAUUGAGUCCUUAGUAAAUCACCCAAAUGAGAUACUAAGGCUAGGACCCAACACAAUAUUCUACAACUCGGGAGAGGGAUGCCGUAACCCUAAUUGCAGAAUAUUUGAAGGUAAGUGAAUGACGAUUCACUAAUUUCCACCAUGAAAAACGAAAAAGAAAUUUAAGUUUUAAAUCUAUGAAAACUCCUAGAUCCUUUGAGAUUCAUUGAACUUUCAAUGGCAUGUUUAAAUCUCGAUAUGCCCCUCUUGUUUGUGACUGGGAUGCCGAGGAUCACAAAGCGGGUGUGAAUAACCAUGCAAACUUACAUGGUGCCCUCACAUGUUACAGUCACCUAUUCGAUGUGCCGGUAAACCACACACGCUCCACCGAACUAUGACAAACAUUGAGUCACCCUUUGCUACCUUUGCUUAGAACCAUUUAGUGUGCCGGUAAACCACACACACUCCACUAACGUCUUCGCAAGGGCACAAAGUGUAAUUUCAUUGAAUUGCAUCAAUUCACUUUUGCCUAAGUAACUAAGAUUGGGAAUUUGUAAAACAUUUAGUUACUUUUGUACUUCAUUAUACUUAUAAUGGAAGGUUUUGUUCUAUGCUACCCGUUCGGCUAACGACCCUGCACUAGUCAAGAGUGCGGUAGGUAAGAGUGGAUACUCAUUCAAUCACCAUUUUAUAGGCAAUUUCCUUAAACACCCCUUAUAGACCAGCUUCGUGAAUGAGGCCUACUAACGGUAAGACUGACUUUUACUCAUACAUAUAUAUAAUGUUAGACUUUUAAUGUUAUAUAUAGUAUAGGGUGUAUUUUACACUUUUAAAAUACUAGGUGGUCAAAUUUAACAAUUAUACUUUUAAUUCAAUUAAAUUGUAAACCAAAACUUUUAUGGAUUUAUUAAACCUCUUUUAAUUAUACACCUUAAUUAAUUAAUAAAACCAUAAGGGUGUGAUUUGAACUUUUCAAAACAAUACUAGGGUUUUAGAAUUUAACAUUCCUAAAUUAAACUUUUAAUCAACUUUUAAAUUCCAAAACUUGAGGGCAAGUUUUGAAACAUUUCAAAACAUUAGGGUUUAGAAUUUAAAUAUACAUCAAAAUUAAACUAUUAAUCAAAAUUUAAAUUCCAAAACUUGAGGGCAAGUUUUGAAACCUUUUUCAAAACAUUAGGGUUUCAACUAUUUAAAUUUCAAAACAACAAAACUUUUGGGUUCAAAUUUAAACUAUAAAACCUAAAGGGGAAAAUAUGAAACAUUUCAUAACAACAGGAUCAAAUAACAAAUAAUCUAAAUUAACAUUUAAUCACAUAAUUAUCCAUAUUUGAUUUAUUUAAUGAUUUCUUGCAAAACAAUUUAUCAAUUUAGUCAAAAUAAUUAAUCAAUUAUCACAUAAGGAAACAAAUAUCUUAUUAAUUGAUAAAUAUCUUCAAUUAGAUCAAGAAUAUAGUCAAAUAUAUCAUAAAAUCGGAUUUAUAUUGAUCUAAUAUGAUAAGGUAACUAUCCUUAAGCAAAAACAGCAAGAAAUCCCGGUUUUCCCUCCUUCUGACCAGCCGACUCGCCGAGUCAGGCAUGGACUCGUCGAGUCAGCAUGGACUCGGCGAGUUCAUCUAUGGACUCGGCGAGUUCAGCAAGCAGAACCACAAAAAACGAAUUUUUUCAACAUACAAGGCAUCAAUACAAUAGAAACCAAUCUAGGCUCUGAUACCACUGAUGGGUUUUGGUCAUAAGAACAUCCUAUGUGCUCAUACAAACCCUAAUGCUUGGAUCUAGGUUUCUCUAUUGUACAUGCAAGUUAUCCAAGACUAUAAACCCUAAUUCUAGCAUACAAGUAAUCAUAUUAACAUAAGAAUGGGUUUAAGAUAUUACCUUGAUUGUUAUGUAGCAAUAACAAUCCCAAAUCUCCUUGUAUUGACUUUAGAAAGCUUAGAGUCACAAAUGUCACUCCUCUAAUGGUUCACAAACACCAUAAGCAAGAGGAUGAAGAGGAGAGAGGAUGGAGGCUGCCCAAAAACGUGUGAAACCCUAGAAGAAAGCUUAGCCACGUUUUUGGUCCUUAAGGGGUCUAUAUAUAGUGAGGCUAUUAGGGUUAUCUAACAAGGAAACCCUAAUUUGGAUGCUUAAGCCCUAAGCAACCCAUGGACUCCUUUCCUUAAGGCCUUGGACGAUUUCAUAUGGGCUUCCCCCAUAGAAUUCGUCCACCUUAUAAUAAAAGGCAAUCCAUGGCCCAAAUUGCAAUUAUCUUAUAAUUACAAUUCCAGUCCCUUAAGUUUAAUUAAUCUCUUUUAGUCACAAAACUAAUUACCAAUUAAUUAUUGACUAAUAUUAAUUAAACAAUAUGAUUUCUCCUUUAAUAUAUUAUUCUCAUAAUAUAUUAAUAAAUCAUAUUUAAUCCUUUCUCUCCAUAAUUCAUCCUAUCAAGUUGCUUUGGUGAAGGCAACCCAAAAGGACCAUGCACCAUCGGGUCAAGUACAUACCAAAAUAGUUAUGGACUUAGACACUAAUCCAACAGUCUCCCACUUGGAUAAGUCUAAUAACUAUUAUGCGUAUGACUUCAGAUCCUGAUCUGCAAUCGUAGCUUUCCAAAGCCGCUGUCAACUCUGAUCCUAUCAGAUACGCGUGUCCUUAGAUAAGGGAUCAUAUAUUCCUCCAUUCUAGAUAUCAUAUGAGAUAUGAUUUCAAAUCAUUCUCUUUGUACUAUAUCUCGAUUCCCGAUUUAUGACGACUGACUAAUUGAACAAAUCAAAUUAGCCCUAGCCCGGCCGAGCAUUUACGUUUGUCAUCACUAAAUCAUCGAGGGGCCCAAAGAUAUCGCUUUUAUCCUACUUUGGAUAAAAGGAACGGAUAAACUUUGAUACAAUGCUUGCUUGCACUCACUCACCGAAUCACACACAACAAUAUGUUUUAUAACACCAAGUUACUAGUGCGUUUACAUAUUAUCAAUGUGCAACCGAUUUGCAAGAUACAACUCACACAUCUCGGUUUCAAGAAUAUAAGAUGUUAUCGUCUCACCAAUCACUCGUGAUACAAUUCAUGGAGUGAUCCAAGUGAGCGUGGGUUUAAUCCAAUGCUCAAAUCAUAUUCAUAAGCACUCAUGAACGUUGCAGCAAACAUUUGCUUAUGUCUAAUACUCUUUAGACAAUCCACACACCAAUUCACGACAGUCUUCAUUCAUACCUACUUCCAACAUAUGAACGACUGUGGCCCGUUCGAAUAAUUUGACUGUUCUUAACCAAUUAAAUUAUUCAGGAAGUCAAAACAUGCAAAGUGAAACACAAGAAUAAUACUAAUCCCAUAUGGCCUCAAACCUUUGAGUAUAAAUAAAACACCUUUUAUUUAUCACCAUAUCGAUUACUCAUUAUUUGUCGUUUCGGGUAAUCAACUUCUUACUUGAAUUAUUACACUUGUCCCAUGCUCCUAGCAUGCACACAAUGUUUACCUAUGGUUCUUACUUUGUGAAAUAGAUCAAAUUGAACACAUUUCCAAUCAUUCUCAUUUCACAACUCCAAAUCCUUUUUCAUAAGUGAAAGAAUAUCAAAUUCUUGCUACUUAUAGAAUAUGCUAGAUUCUAACAUUUUAUGCAAUGAUCUUUUCGUAAUGUCACUGCACCAAAGUCACAAAGACUAUUGCCAAUGAUAUUACAAAGUCCUCUAUCGGAGAUUGUUACAAGACAAUUCCUUAGAUAUGAUGUCUCUCACUCAAAGUACAUUCCUUUGAACAUCCUUUUGCAUAAAAGUUUCUAAUCUAGACAUAGAUUUUCAAUAUUCAAUUCCCAAUAUGGACACGUUUCCAUAUUUUCCAUAUGACAACUCAUUCUUAAUAGAAUCUUAUCUAUUCAUAAUAAUGUCGAUAUGGUCCAUCCAAUAUGGAAACAUUUCCAUAUUUUCCAAUACUAUACUUCCAACUACUCACAAGCGACCAAUCCUCGUCGAACUUUGGAUUGUCCUUUGAUAGUUGUUUAAUUAUUUUAGUCAAAACCGAUUCUAGUCCUUUUUCCCUCUAAAUGCGCUAGACAUUUGGAAAAUUUUAGAAUGGUCAAACAUUAAAGCAUUUGCAAUCGAUCCUAUACCCGAAGCGUAUGGGACACGACGCAUAAUGUUUUAUUUGCUAUGUUCUCAAAAUUCGAAUUGUGAAGAGGAAUGCCGUAAUCAUAAUCGAAAUUUUAAGAACACACUAUGUACCUUUGACUAAAUUUAUUAACAUUUCUCAACCUAAUCCUUUAGAUUUGAAAUGAAGCAUAAUAUUCUCUCCCUUAAUUAUAGCAAAACAACUUUUCAACUCUUACAACUUUGCAAAGUAUGACUCUUGUUUUCUAUAAUUAAUAUUGCUAACCUUGCAAUACUUUCCUUAAUAAUCAUACAAUCAUAACAUUUAUGCUCCCACUAUCAUGAUGAUUAUUAUAAAACAUAACACUUAUGCUCCCACUAGCUUCGACAUGUAUUCAUAAACAUCUUAACUUUCAGAAAACAAUACUUAUUGAAUUUCUUAAGUUCAUGUUUCUAAUACUUAGUGCUUUGAUAAUCCUUUAUCAAUGCUUCUUGAACUUAUACACCUUUGCCUUCGAUAGUUCAUAUGUGUGUCUAAACAAUUAAGACUAAUUGCCAAACCUCACAAUUCAAAUUAUGGAAAGGGAUGCCGUAACCAUAAUUGAAUUCGAGAAUGCAAUUUUACAAUCACUAUCUUCUUAAAAUCUUUCUUAGUGAAAGCAUUUCCUCACAAUCAUUUUCAUGAAGGAGGAAAUCUUAUGACACUUAGAUUUAAACGGUGUAUGUGUUCCUAUCCAUGUGAAUUUGUUAAAACCAAAGUUUACGACAAAUUCAAACUCAUAUGGACCGAACUUUCUUAAUCUUGAUUUCUUGCCUUAUGGUAGCACAGCUGCCCACCAUGUCUUCCAAGUAGUUAAGCAGCUCACCUUUUCCUAUCAAUGUACCUUUCAUUGAUUAAGGUGCUUUGCCUUUUAUGCGUUCAAAAUGAGAACUCAUAGAACUCACAUGCAUAAUUAACUCGAUUGGAUUGGCACAGAAUCAAAAUAAUGUCAACACGAUAGGUUGUAAACCUCAACUCGUGUGCUAGUGAUGAUCGAUAAGGUUUAUUUGAUUUGUUCUUGAAACCUUUCAAGACCAUUAAGACUCCCACUGACUCCUUGACAUAUAAGAUUCUCUUGUCAAUAACCAUUUCUUGACAAACAAAUAUUCAAGAGUUAGUGUAGCUUUUAUCAAAACACUUCAUAAAUUGGUCCUAGUUGGUCUUUGUCUUAUCCAAGACAUCACAACUUUCCACAUUUGAUGAAUGUUAUAAACCUUCUUAAUACUUAUCACUCAAUGUCACAAUCUUAACUCUAAGACUUGUUUUGGAACGAAGUAUGAUUGACUUCUUGAUUUAACCAUUUCUUCAAUUCUUGAUUCCUCUACUUAGACAUACAAUUGUACUAAGAUUCACUUAGAGGAUCAAUUGAGAUAUGGUUCUUAAUCAUUAAGACCUAUCAUAAAGCAUAAAAGGUACUCUCCCUUCUUCUUAGAAUGCAGAACCUUUUAUCUUUCUGCCUACUUGAUUUUUCUUAUUCGUUCUGCCAAUGAUUUAAACCUGUUAAUCAAUUCCGAAUUACACUUAAUCUUAUAAGUAUAAUCAUAUUCACUAAACCUUUAGUAAAUCAUGACGAAUAUCUUUGUUACUCUUAUGGUGAACUUGAUCAACACACAACUUUGUGUGCUCGAUCUCCUAGUCCUUCACUUGACACUUUGUCAACGAAUUAGUCUAAUUUCCAAAUAUGAAAUUUCUCAUUCAUCGUGCAACCAAGUUGCAUGAUUCCAAGUUUCUGUCCAAUUGAAACUUGGGCGAUGAGAAACUCUCCCUAUUUGGUAAAUUCUCGACUUUCCAUAAAUAACAUAAUAAGAACCAAAUCCAUUAUUGCUAAUAAUAGAAACAUUCAAACAUCAAUUUUUCAUAUACGCCAUUGCAAGGAUAAAUAAAUAAUAUAAAAUCAAAAUUUAUUUUAUUGCGGAAAAAAUUUGUCCUUACAAUGCAAUUCAUUGAAAAACUAUGCUAAUACAUCUUUCUUAGCAAUCUAAUUCUAACUCUAAGUAGUAGCUCAAGAAUCUAAUCUUCGAGAAAUGCGAUCGAAAUCCAUUCCUUCACGGUUAGAUUCUGCUCACUUCUUCCCUUAAGCUUCCUUUCUUUUCUUCGAUCCUACAAAACAUCAAUUGUAAUCUUAUCACAUUAUGUAUUAAGAAUCUAGAAUAGAAGCUUAAAAGAGUUAGUUAAUGGAUUUUACCUAUAUUAGAGCCAUACGUUUCGACUCUCCCAUCUCUUAGAUCUCUUAGGUAAAUGGGGCAGCUUCGUCUCCAAUGCCCUUUCUCUUGGCAAUAAAAGCAAAUUGACUCUUUUGGAACAUGACAUGGAACUACUUCAGACAUUGCCUUUCUCUUAUGAUCAAACUUUUCGAUCAUAGCAUGUCUUUCGUUGCCAUUGUCUAUAUCCAUAGAGGUCUUGAAGGCAGAUUCACCAAUCAACUUUGCUUUUCUAUUGCGCCAAACCAUUGCUGAUUCAGCAGCAAUAAGCAUAUAGGUGAGAUCUAUAAGGGUCACGUCGCGGUUCAUCAUAUAGUACUCUCUUACGAACUCACUAUAUGAGUUAGGAAGUGACUGAAGAACCCAAUCAACAGCCAUUUCCUCACAGACAACGGAUCCCAACAUUCUUAACCUAUCAAUGUGUGACUUCAUCCCUAGGACGUGUGCACACACCGACUUUCCUUCUUUAUGUUUACUUGCCAAAAGGGCUUGAGUGAUCUUGAACUUUUCAAGCCUUUGAACUUGUGGGUUAGGGAGAAUAAUUGGAGGAGGAGGAGGAAGUGAAGCAUGAUUUCUUGUUCCUCGAUCGAAUCGUGGAAUAUCAUCUUCAUGUGGAAUGCUUGUUCCACGGGAUUUGGGAAGACCAUAGUUGUCGAACUUUGACAUCUACAAAACGGGAGAAAACGAAUUCAAGUUAGUUGAUUGAUUGAGUCCUUAGUAAAUCACCCAAAUGAGAUACUAAGGCUAGGACCCAACACAAUAUUCUACAACUCGGGAGAGGGAUGCCGUAACCCUAAUUGCAGAAUAUUUGAAGGUAAGUGAAUGACGAUUCACUAAUUUCCACCAUGAAAAACGAAAAAGAAAUUUAAGUUUUAAAUCUAUGAAAACUCCUAGAUCCUUUGAGAUUCAUUGAACUUUCAAUGGCAUGUUUAAAUCUCGAUAUGCCCCUCUUGUUUGUGACUGGGAUGCCGAGGAUCACAAAGCGGGUGUGAAUAACCAUGCAAACUUACAUGGUGCCCUCACAUGUUACAGUCACCUAUUCGAUGUGCCGGUAAACCACACACGCUCCACCGAACUAUGACAAACAUUGAGUCACCCUUUGCUACCUUUGCUUAGAACCAUUUAGUGUGCCGGUAAACCACACACGCUCCACUAACGUCUUCGCAAGGGCACAAAGUGUAAUUUCAUGGAAUUGCAUCAAUUCACUUUUGCCUAAGUAACUAAGAUUGGGAAUUUUAUGAAAACAUUUAGUUACUUUUAUACUUCAUUAUACUUAUAAUGGAAGGUUUCGUCCUAUCCUACCCGUUC